AUUUUUAAUCUACACCUUUGUACUAUAUUUAUUAUAUAUAAAGCUGAAUUCUUUGAUUCGUCGUUUUUACGUGAUGACGGCUGACAAAUUGGACCUCGUAAUUUUAGUAUUAUAGAUAUUUAAAGUAAGCCAAUUUGAAAUAUUAUGCAUUUUAUACCGAUUUUGAGAUAAAGUCACAUGUCGAAUAUUCCGACCUAGUAAAGGGUCGUAGUCAAGACUGAUAAUUACAUUGUCUCUCUUUCUUUCUUUUUUUGCAAUGCAACAAUUUUUUUCUAUUCUGAUGUGGUGUUUUUUUUUUUAAAUGCAAUGAUCUAAUCUUACUCGUUUUCAAAUCACAACUUAUGAAUUCACAUGCAUAUUGAAUAUAUUUAACUAUGAUGAAUAUAUAUUUAUAAUUAUGACGGGUUUAAAAUUCAAUAACUUAUUACUGGCAGUUCCAGUUUAACAAAUAAGAACAAAGGAUUUAAAUGGUCAUUGCAAAACUUUAUUUCUGUGUAGUGAUUUCAGGGUUUUCCAAAUAUUUUUAGAAUGCAUGCAACUAGCAGUACUGAGCAAACCAGUAAUCCGAAUUCUGUAAUAAGCAACUUGCAGUACAUCAAAAUGGUAAGA
rnacentral:lncRNA from 1 species